GGCGAGGUUCUGUCUUUUGGUCAGGACAACCGUCUAGCUAUAAGUGCUGCAGGGGUGUGAGAAACUCCUAUUGCUGGACGAUGUCUCUUUCGAGGCAUUAGCACCGGGGAGAAGUCAUUUAAU
rnacentral:misc_RNA from 1 species